UCGUCACACUAUCAUUAACUGAAUCCAUAGGUUAAUGAGGCGAACCGGGGGAACUGAAACAUCUAAGUACCCCGAGGAAAAGAAAUCAACCGAGAUUCCCCCAGUAGCGGCGAGCGAACGGGGAGGAGCCCAGAGCCUGAAUCAGCAUGUGUGUUAGUGGAAGCGUCUGGAAAGGCGCGCGAUACAGGGUGACAGCCCCGUACACAAAAGCGCAUGUGCUGUGAGCUCGAUGAGUAGGGCGGGACACGUGGUAUCCUGUCUGAAUAUGGGGGGACCAUCCUCCAAGGCUAAAUACUCCUGACUGACCGAUAGUGAACCAGUACCGUGAGGGAAAGGCGAAAAGAACCCCGGCGAGGGGAGUGAAAAAGAACCUGAAACCGUGUACGUACAAGCAGUGGGAGCACAGGUGACUGCGUACCUUUUGUAUAAUGGGUCAGCGACUUAUAUUCUGUAGCAAGGUUAACCGAAUAGGGGAGCCGGAGGGAAACCGAGUCUUAAUUGGGCGUUAAGUUGCAGGGUAUAGACCCGAAACCCGGUGAUCUAGCCAUGGGCAGGUUGAAGGUUGGGUAACACUAACUGGAGGACCGAACCGACUAAUGUUGAAAAAUUAGCGGAUGACCUGUGGCUGGGGGUGAAAGGCCAAUCAAACCGGGAGAUAGCUGGUUCUCCCCGAAAGCUAUUUAGGUAGCGCCUCGUGAAUUCAUCUCCGGGGGUAGAGCACUGUUUCGGCUAGGGGGCCAUCCCGGCUUACCAACCCGAUGCAAACUGCGAAUACCGGAGAAUGUUAUCACGGGAGACACACGGCGGGUGCUAACGUCCGUCGUGAAGAGGGAAACAACCCAGACCGCCAGCUAAGGUCCCAAAGUCAUGGUUAAGUGGGAAACGAUGUGGGAAGGCCCAGACAGCCAGGAUGUUGGCUUAGAAGCAGCCAUCAUUUAAAGAAAGCGUAAUAGCUCACUGGUCGAGUCGGCCUGCGCGGAAGAUGUAACGGGGCUAAACCAUGCACCGAAGCUGCGGCAGCGAACGUAUCACCCAAGACAACUUUACGGAGUUGACGAUUGACGGAGCGAAGCGACGUCAAAGCGUUCAUUAAAGUCGAGUUGGCUUAGGGAUACGUUCGUUGGGUAGGGGAGCGUUCUGUAAGCCUGUGAAGGUGUGUCGUGAGGCAUGCUGGAGGUAUCAGAAGUGCGAAUGCUGACAUAAGUAACGAUAAAGCGGGUGAAAAGCCCGCUCGCCGGAAGACCAAGGGUUCCUGUCCAACGUUAAUCGGGGCAGGGUGAGUCGACCCCUAAGGCGAGGCCGAAAGGCGUAGUCGAUGGGAAACGGGUUAAUAUUCCCGUACUUGGUGUUACUGCGAAGGGGGGACGGAGAAGGCUAUGUUGGCCGGGCGACGGUUGUCCCGGUUUAAGCGUGUAGGUGUGUGUUCCAGGUAAAUCCGGUUCACUUUAACACUGAGGCGUGACGACGAGGCACUACGGUGCUGAAGCAACAAAUGCCCUGCUUCCAGGAAAAGCCUCUAAGCAUCAGGUAACAUCAAAUCGUACCCCAAACCGACACAGGUGGUCAGGUAGAGAAUACCAAGGCGCUUGAGAGAACUCGGGUGAAGGAACUAGGCAAAAUGGUGCCGUAACUUCGGGAGAAGGCACGCUGACACGUAGGUGAAGUGAUUUACUCAUGGAGCUGAAGUCAGUCGAAGAUACCAGCUGGCUGCAACUGUUUAUUAAAAACACAGCACUGUGCAAACACGAAAGUGGACGUAUACGGUGUGACGCCUGCCCGGUGCCGGAAGGUUAAUUGAUGGGGUCAGCGCAAGCGAAGCUCCUGAUCGAAGCCCCGGUAAACGGCGGCCGUAACUAUAACGGUCCUAAGGUAGCGAAAUUCCUUGUCGGGUAAGUUCCGACCUGCACGAAUGGCGUAAUGAUGGCCAGGCUGUCUCCACCCGAGACUCAGUGAAAUUGAACUCGCUGUGAAGAUGCAGUGUACCCGCGGCAAGACGGAAAGACCCCGUGAACCUUUACUAUAGCUUGACACUGAACAUUGAGCCUUGAUGUGUAGGAUAGGUGGGAGGCUUUGAAGUGUGGACGCCAGUCUGCAUGGAGCCGACCUUGAAAUACCACCCUUUAAUGUUUGAUGUUCUAACGUGGACCCGUAAUCCGGGUUGCGGACAGUGUCUGGUGGGUAGUUUGACUGGGGCGGUCUCCUCCUAAAGAGUAACGGAGGAGCACGAAGGUUGGCUAAUCCUGGUCGGACAUCAGGAGGUUAGUGCAAUGGCAUAAGCCAGCUUGACUGCGAGCGUGACGGCGCGAGCAGGUGCGAAAGCAGGUCAUAGUGAUCCGGUGGUUCUGAAUGGAAGGGCCAUCGCUCAACGGAUAAAAGGUACUCCGGGGAUAACAGGCUGAUACCGCCCAAGAGUUCAUAUCGACGGCGGUGUUUGGCACCUCGAUGUCGGCUCAUCACAUCCUGGGGCUGAAGUAGGUCCCAAGGGUAUGGCUGUUCGCCAUUUAAAGUGGUACGCGAGCUGGGUUUAGAACGUCGUGAGACAGUUCGGUCCCUAUCUGCCGUGGGCGCUGGAGAACUGAGGGGGGCUGCUCCUAGUACGAGAGGACCGGAGUGGACGCAUCACUGGUGUUCGGGUUGUCAUGCCAAUGGCACUGCCCGGUAGCUAAAUGCGGAAGAGAUAAGUGCUGAAAGCAUCUAAGCACGAAACUUGCCCCGAGAUGAGUUCUCCCUGAGACUUAGAGUCUCCUGAAGGAACGUUGAAGACGACGACGUUGAUAGGCCGGGUGUGUAAGCGCAGCGAUGCGUUGAGCUAACCGGUACUAAUGAACCGUGAGGCUUA
rnacentral:rRNA from 1 species